GACAGAGUGUGAAUCUGUAAUUAGUUUCCCUAUGAUAUCUGUGGUGUAGUGUAAUUCUUCUUGAUACAUAAGUAUAAAGUAGUUUUAGUUUUAAUUCAUAUUAAAAGCUAUUUAAAAACAAUCACAUUUUAAUCAAAACACCACUGGAAACCAAGUUAGAAAUUAAUUCUAAGAGUUUUCGUCGUUUUAUUGUGGAUUUUAUCUUCAUUAAAGUUUUAUUUAUUUUGUUUUAUUUUACAUUACUCUAUUUUUACCUCUAAAUCGAUACCUACUCUCUACUUUUCUGUUAUGUCCCUCUUGACUUUCCGUAGCUCUCUGGGUCACCGGUAGCCCCUUCUGUGUUCACUCACUUUAUUGUUUUCAACUAAUAAAGGGUGAGGUGUGCAGUAGAGGCAAGAAUACAAGAAAUGUCCACUUAUCGUCACCUACAGGUGCCCCGGUUGCAGGGUAGACACUGCUGCUGUCCAGCCAGUGGCUGAUAGAAACCUCGGCCACAUGCCAGACACGCUCCAGGAAAGAGACACAGCCCAGGGUC